UACGUAGGGUGCAAGCGUUGUCCGGAAUUAUUGGGCGUAAAGAGCUCGUAGGCGGUUUGUCGCGUCGGCUGUGAAAACUCGGGGCUCAACCCCGAGCCUGCAGUCGAUACGGGCAAACUAGAGUGUGGUAGGGGAGACUGGAAUUCCUGGUGUAGCGGUGAAAUGCGCAGAUAUCAAGAGGAACACCGGCGGCGAAGGCGGGUCUCUGGGCCAUAACUGACGCUGAGGAGCGAAAGCGUGGGGAGCGAACAGG
rnacentral:rRNA from 1 species